UGUCCUUACAUGUUGAAGAUCAUGGGCAAUGCCAACCCAACCCAACCCACCACGCUCCUGACCUUUCAAGAGGGUUUGCUUUCUUCCCUGGGCCCCCAUCUGUCAUGUGCAAGACCAGGCUAUAAGGGAUCAGUUGGUCUUGGGUGCUAAUGAAGCUCAGGAACCCCUUAAACUUGCCAAAUUAGGACUAAACUUGCCAAAAACUACCCUAAGACCUUGCAAAUUUGACCUAACCCUAGAUUAAGGACCCUAAACCCUGACCAAACCUUAAUCACCUUUGAUCACACUUAAAACCCCAAUUUUGGCCCGCUCCCCUCUUAUUAAAAUACCGAUGAAAGCCAUUUAUCAACCUUAAAGGCAUAAGAACCCCUCUAUCAAUGUCUGGAAACUCUUAAUGGGUUUGUAGACAUGUGGCAGGAAACCUCCCCUUUCUCGAGCCUACAAUAUUUUGUGUGCUAACCUAACUCAAUUAGGCAAAACCGUAUCCGAUCAGGACUUCGACCCAUGAGCCUUAGUCCUCCUGGAAAACCCGAACCCUAAUUCCCACACCAACAAACCAUGGCGUUCCUUAGGACACAACGAACCCAAUCUUAACCCUAAAUACACAAAAAACCUAGCCAUGGCUGUCCUUCGAGGAGAACCCCAGGCAAUUUGUCCUCACCUAGGUCUUCGCCACCUCUAGCCAAAACAAACUUUAAGACUCAAUCAAGAACACUGCUUAGCCUCGAUUUGCAGACUCUGAAGAGUGGAAGAAGUCGGCGCUUCAAUCAUGGAUCUAAAUCAAGCUCCCAACUCUAGGUCCCAGGCCUAUAGGUCCAGGAAAAGACAAGCUAGGUCUCAUUCUUAAGCUAAUGGUUGAGUCAUGUGUCUCAUGACUGAAAAUUGGUGGGUGAAAAGAAGGCAUCUUCUCCUUCCUCAUGCUCAAUCAGUGGCCUUAUCUCACAUCGGUUGAUUGAAAAUUUGUAAUGAUAGCUCAAUUUGAUGCUCUUCUCUCUUUUGCAAACACGCUCAAACUUGUGGGAUGCAACCCAACUAGUAGUGCUAUGUACGCAAGUACAAACCUAAUCUUUUUGUCUUACCCAUCAAUUAUUACUUCUCAGUACUGCGUUUCUAGAAAUUUUAGUUGUCUACAAGCUCUUGAGUGUGACAUCAUGCCAAAAUUGCUUUUUUUUUUUUCUUUGGGUGAAUAAGUGGGGAUAUGGGCCCCUACCUGCUUUAUUAAAAAAUCAAAAUAAAUAUUACAUAAACAGUUCUUAAACAGCCAUUGACGAGGGAACACUAGCAAAAUCUGAUAGGACGAAAGGCAUUACAAAAUCAAGGGGGCGAACACGCCACACUGUCGCUUCAUUCAUAGAAACCAUUGCUUUGGCCAAAGAAUUUGCAGCCAUAUUGGCCUCUUUAUAAGCAUGUUGGACCUUCCACUGCCAAUCAGUGAAAGAUGCAAGCUUAGAUAUAUAAUUAGAUAAAAUUAAGUGCAAUCUCUUGGAGGCCUUGAAACGAUGACUCAUGGAAUCAACAAGAAGUAUGGAAUCACUUUCAAUAACAAGAGGUACACAGUUCAACUCCAGUGCCAAUGAAAUACCCUCUCAAGUGCAUGGAAUUCAGCUAUGUUAUUAGAAUAGAUACUCAAUGGAAUCGCAAAGGCUCCAAUGAAUCCACCUGCAUCAUUCCUAAUGAUUCCCUCACCGCCAUCGGUACCCAGAUUGCAUUUAAGGGCCGCUAUUGUGUUUGUUCUUUGAUCAUUUGCAGAUCUUUAAAUGUAUUCCCUCGCCCUUAUAUUAUGUAAAUAGAUUUUAUGCAAAUAAUACAUUCUUUUCAUAUUGGUUAUGGCAUGAA